AUUAAAGAACGUAAGUUUCUUAAACUACUAUUAAUCUCUUAUAAUCCAUUGGAGGGGAUUAUAUACGGACGAUCAUGGGUAGACCAAUGGGGAGAUGAACGAUUCUAUUCAUUGUAUAUACCAAUUAUUAUGUGUACCUUUUAAUGUCAUGUGCGGAUGAGAAUGCUCUGCAAUCUUUUAGUAACUUUUGGAUGAACAUUUACAUCAUGUUGGAGCCAUAAACAACCUGCAAAUGACUUUCCUAAACCAACCAGAGAUAGUAGUAGAGCUACUUUCAAUUCCUUUUGAAAAAUUCAAGAGUUAAAUUGCAAUUGGUUUACAAAUGUCAAUCUGCCAUAUUUCAUUUCUUUUUUUACUUAAAAAAAAA
rnacentral:misc_RNA from 1 species